rnacentral:rRNA from 1 species
CCUACGGGAGGCAGCAGUGAGGAAUAUUGGUCAAUGGGCGUAAGCCUGAACCAGCCAAGUCGCGUGAGGGAUGAAGGUUCUAUGGAUCGUAAACCUCUUUUAUAAGGGAAUAAAGUGCGGGACGUGUCCCGUUUUGUAUGUACCUUAUGAAUAAGGAUCGGCUAACUCCGUGCCAGCGGCCGCGGUAAUACGGAGGAACCGAGCGUUAUCCGGAUUUAUUGGGUUUAAAGGGUGCGUAGGCGGCGUUUUAAGUCCGCGGUGAAAGUCUGUGGCGCAACCAUAGAAUUGCCGUUGAAGCUGGGAGGCUGGAGUAUGUGUGAGGUAGGCGGAAUGCGUGGUGUAGCGGUGAAAUGCUUAGAUAUCACGCAGAACCCCGAUUGCGAAGGCAGCCUGCCAAGCCAUGACUGACGCUGAUGCACGAAAGCGUGGGGAUCAAACAGGAUUAGAUACCCCAGUAGUC